UGGGGAAUAUUGCACAAUGGGCGCAAGCCUGAUGCAGCAACGCCGCGUGAACGAUGAAGGUCUUCGGAUCGUAAAGUUCUUUUGCAGGGGAAGAUAAUGACGGUACCCUGUGAGGAAGCCCCGGCUAACUACGUGCCAGCAGCCGCGGUAAUACGUAGGGGGCUAGCGUUAUCCGGAUUUACUGGGCGUAAAGGGUGCGUAGGUGGUCUUUCAAGUCGGUGGUUAAAGGCUACGGCUCAACCGUAGUUAGCCUCCGAAACUGGAAGACUUAAGUGCAGGAGAGGAAAGCGGAAUUCCCAGUGUUGCGGUGAAAUGGGUAGUUAUUGUGAGGAACACCAGUAGCGAAGGCGGCUUUCUGGACUGCAACUGAAACUGCGGCACGAAAGCGUGGGUAGCAAACAGG
rnacentral:rRNA from 1 species